rnacentral:rRNA from 1 species
CCUACGGGGGGCACCAGUGGGGAAUAUUGCACAAUGGGCGCAAGCCUGAUGCAGCCAUGCCGCGUGUAUGAAGAAGGCCUUCGGGUUGUAAAGUGCUUUCAGCGAGGAGGAAGGCGUUAAGGUUAAUAACCUUGGCGAUUGACGUUACUCGCAGAAGAAGCACCGGCUAACUCCGUGCCAGCAGCCGCGGUAAUACGGAGGGUGCAAGCGUUAAUCGGAAUUACUGGGCGUAAAGCGCACGCAGGCGGUCUGUCAAGUCGGAUGCGAAAUCCCCGGGUUCAACCUGGGAACUGCAUUCGAAACUGGCAGGCUAGAGUCUUGUAGAGGGGGGUAGAAUUCCAGGUGUAGCGGUGAAAUGCGUAGAGAUCUGGAGGAAUACCGGUGGCGAAGGCGGCCCCCUGGACAAAGACUGACGCUCAGAUGCGAAAGCGUGGGGAGCAAACAGGAUUAGAUACCCCAGUAGUC